rnacentral:rRNA from 1 species
GACGAACGCUGGCGGCAUGCCUAAUACAUGCAAGUCGAACGCUGAAGCACUCUGCUUGCAGAGUGCGGAUGAGUGGCGAACGGGUGAGUAACACGUGGGAAAUCUGCCUAGGAGUGGGGGAUAACAUUCGGAAACGGAUGCUAAUACCGCAUAUCUUUUUGAACCGCAUGGUUCUUAAACGAAAGACGGCUUCGGCUGUCGCUCUUAGAUGAUCCCGCGGCGUAUUAGUUAGUUGGUGGGGUAAAGGCCUACCAAGACCAUGAUACGUAGCCGACCUGAGAGGGUGAUCGGCCACACUGGGACUGAGACACGGCCCAGACUCCUACGGGAGGCAGCAGUAGGGAAUCUUCCACAAUGGGUGAAAACCUGAUGGAGCAAUGCCGCGUGAAUGAAGAAGGUCUUCGGAUCGUAAAGUUCUGUUAUUAGAGAAGAACAAGUCAAGGAGUAACUGUCUUGACUUUGACGGUACCUAACCAGAAAGUCACGGCUAACUACGU